rnacentral:misc_RNA from 1 species
UUUCCGUAGGUGAACCUGCGGAAGGAUCAUUAUUGAAUGAUGGCUGAGGGGGGGCUGUCCGUAAGAGGAGAGUUCACGCACUCCCCAGGAACCCCACACGGAUCCAUCUGACACCUAGAUGAAAUACCGCAGGGGUCUCCCUUGCGGUGGCGCGGCGGGCGGCGUAGGAUGUGACACAAACUGUGUGUGCAUUGUAGAAUAUAGUGUGUGUUUGUGCGAGCACACAACCAAUACAACUUUCAACAACGGAUCUCUUGGCUCUC